AUUGAACGCUGGCGGCAGGCCUAACACAUGCAAGUCGAACGGUAACAGGAAGAAGCUUGCUUCUUUGCUGACGAGUGGCGGACGGGUGAGUAAUGUCUGGGAAACUGCCUGAUGGAGGGGGAUAACUACUGGAAACGGUAGCUAAUACCGCAUAACGUCGCAAGACCAAAGAGGGGGACCUUCGGGCCUCUUGCCAUCGGAUGUGCCCAGAUGGGAUUAGCUAGUAGGUGGGGUAACGGCUCACCUAGGCGACGAUCCCUAGCUGGUCUGAGAGGAUGACCAGCCACACUGGAACUGAGACACGGUCCAGACUCCUACGGGAGGCAGCAGUGGGGAAUAUUGCACAAUGUGCGCAAGCCUGAUGCAGCCAUGCCGCGUGUAUGAAGAAGGCCUUCGGGUUGUAAAGUACUUUCAGCGGGGAGGAAGGGAGUAAAGUUAAUACCUUUGCUCAUUGACGUUACCCGCAGAAGAAGUACCGGCUAACUCCGUG
rnacentral:rRNA from 1 species